UUUAAUAGUAGAUCUAUAAUCUAUCAAUUCUAUCUAAAUUAUUCUAAAUCUAGACUUCACUUUCACAUCACAUUCAGUCAUUCACACGAUUAUUGAUACAGACAGUGAAUGAAACGAAUGCAGUGGUUAUACUGAUUAUACUUAAAGUGACGAUACUACUUAUAGAUCUACCAGUUGAUAAACAUCAUCAUCAUAGAUAAUAAUCUACAUCUAUAAUCAUAGUGCCCUUUAUUUAGUCAAUAUAGUCAAGUCAAGGUAGUGGAACGUAAACUCAAAGGUUUAAUACAAUAUGUUAUUAACAAGUAGAACCAUGGCAACCAGUUCUGAUGAUGUACCAGAAUGGCUCAAGGAUCAUACUUAUACUAUUUCUACUCUCUGGGCAUCCAUUCAAUAUUUAAUUUAUGUUUGGAAAUGCAAGAAAAAGGCAUGCAUUCCUGAAAAGUCAAUGAUUGGUUGCACCUCUUAAAGAUAACUUUCUGUUAUGAGAAAAGAUGAGAUUCUUGGACUCCUGCAUAGCACCACCAGAAAGGAAAAUCCCAUCAUGUUGCAAAAUAAAAGUCUUGGACCAAUUUUAAUUUAAGAUAUAUAUAUUAUACUGUAAGCUGUAUACAUAUUUAUGUAUAUCCUGUCAUUCAGCCAACAGGUUUGGAUUUAGUAUUUCUUUAAAUCUGUUUGAUAUUGUACUUGAAAACUAUUAAUCUGAGCCCCAUUAAAACAAGAGGGAGUGCAGUGGAUGAGUGGUAAGGGAAAUUUUACUUUUUUAAAAUUAAAAUAAGAAUCUAACAAAAGUAAACAUAUAAAAUAUGGUGCAUUCUCCUUAAAACUAAAACCUGGUGCAAAGGUUUAAAAUGUUGGCAAAAAAAAAGCAACAUCAAUUAAAUAUUCUUAAUUCCCUUUGCAAAACUUACUGAGAAGAACAUGCAUGUUGUUCCCUCAUAAGUUUCUUGACAGAGGAAAUCUUGUUUAUAUUAGAUUUGAAUUAAGCAAAUUAAGAAAAAAAUUAUAAUCAUUAUUUCAAAUGGUUGUAUCUAAACCUUAUGAAUUAUUUUUCAGUUAUAAGUAUAUUGAAAUGAAUGGAUAAUCAUGAAAUUGUUAAAUAAUUGCUGCUAUCAUUCCAUUGACUAAAGAACCAUAAUUUUUUUAAAUUAAUUUCAAAA